CGAGCAGGUGCGAAAGCAGGUCAUAGUGAUCCGGUGGUUCUGAAUGGAAGGGCCAUCGCUCAACGGAUAAAAGGUACUCCGGGGAUAACAGGCUGAUACCGCCCAAGAGUUCAUAUCGACGGCGGUGUUUGGCACCUCGAUGUCGGCUCAUCACAUCCUGGGGCUGAAGUAGGUCCCAAGGGUAUGGCUGUUCGCCAUUUAAAGUGGUACGCGAGCUGGGUUUAGAACGUCGUGAGACAGUUCGGUCCCUAUCUGCCGUGGGCGCUGGAGAACUGAGGGGGGCUGCUCCUAGUACGAGAGGACCGGAGUGGACGCAUCACUGGUGUUCGGGUUGUCAUGCCAAUGGCACUGCCCGGUAGCUAAAUGCGGAAGAGAUAAGUGCUGAAAGCAUCUAAGCACGAAACUUGCCCCGAGAUGAGUUCUCCCUGACUCCUUGAGAGUCCUGAAGGAACGUUGAAGACGACGACGUUGAUAGGCCGGGUGUGUAAGCGCAGCGAUGCGUUGAGCUAACCGGUACUAAUGAACCGUGAGG
rnacentral:rRNA from 1 species